rnacentral:misc_RNA from 1 species
GUGAAUCAUCGAAUCUUUGAACGCAAAUUGCACUCUCUGGUAUUCCGGAGAGUAUGCCUGUUUGAGGGUCAGUUUAAAUAAAAGUCGGUGUGGUUGCUGCCGUUGGGGGUGACUCACGGGAUUUGGGUCGUCGUGCCUUCGGUUAAGUUAUCUAAAGUUUGGCAUGAUUUUUUUCGAACGUAUUUAAAUUAUUUUACGUACGUUUGCGAUAUAGAAUACUAGGUGUGGUCAUCCUCGUGAUUCGCGCCUAUAAGUGUUCAUCAAUAUGAC